rnacentral:rRNA from 1 species
UGGGGGAUAUUGCACAAUGGGCGAAAGCCUGAUGCAGCGACGCCGCGUGGGGGAUGAAGGCCUUCGGGUUGUAAACUUCUUUUGCCCUGAACAAGGCAUGCCUUUGGGGUGUGUUGAGUGUAGGGGUUGAUUAGCGCCGGCUAACUACGUGCCAGCAGCCGCGGUAAUACGUAGGGCGCGAGCGUUGUCCGGAAUUAUUGGGCGUAAAGGGCUUGUAGGUGGCUGGUUGCGUCUGUCGUGAAAGCUCAUGGCUUAACUGUGGGUUUGCGGUGGGUACGGGCUGGCUUGAGUGCAGUAGGGGAGGCUGGAAUUCCUGGUGUAGCGGUGGAAUGCGCAGAUAUCAGGAGGAAUACCGGUGGCGAAGGCGGGUCUCUGGGCUGUUACUGACGCUGAGGAGCGAAAGCGUGGGGAGCGAACAGG